rfam:Pseudocohnilembus persalinus scaffold1305, whole genome shotgun sequence.
AGCAAGAUGGUGUAGUGGUAUCACGUUAGGCUCAUAACCUAAGGGUCGUAGGAUCGAAACCUACUUUUGCUC